rnacentral:lncRNA from 1 species
UAAUCUGACUCAUCCUUGUGUUUCAAGAACUUUACCCAUGUCCAUCGACUAUAGUCAUCAAUGAUGACAAAUCCAUACUUCUUUCCAUUGAUAGAGGCAGUAUUCACUGGUCCAAACAAAUCAAUAUGCAGACAUUUUAACGGUCUAUAAGUAGAAACAAUAAUUUUCGCUUUGAAAUGUGUUUUAGAAAACUUGUCUUUCUUACAUGCUUCACAAAGAGCAUCUGAAGUGAACUUCAG